GGAGAGAUGACUCAGCGGUUCAGAGCACUGACUGUUCUUUCAGAGGACACAGGUUCAAUUCCUAUUAUCUGCA
rnacentral:tRNA from 1 species